GACGAACGCUGGCGGCGUGCUUAACACAUGCAAGUCGAACGGAAAGGCCCUGCUUGCAGGGUACUCGAGUGGCGAACGGGUGAGUAACACGUGGGUGAUCUGCCCUGCACUUCGGGAUAAGCCUGGGAAACUGGGUCUAAUACCGGAUAGGAGCCAUUUUUAGUGUGAUGGUUGGAAAGUUUUUUCGGUGUAGGAUGAGCUCGCGGCCUAUCAGCUUGUUGGUGGGGUAAUGGCCUACCAAGGCGGCGACGGGUAGCCGGCCUGAGAGGGUGGACGGCCACAUUGGGACUGAGAUACGGCCCAGACUCCUACGGGAGGCAGCAGGGGGGAAUAUUGCACAAGGGGCGCAAGCCUGAUGCAGCGACGCCGCGUGGGGGAUGACGGCCUUCGGGUUGGAAACUCCUUUCGCUAGGGACGAAGCUUUUUGUGACGGUACCUAGAUAAGAAGCACCGGCUAACUACGUG
rnacentral:rRNA from 1 species